rnacentral:lncRNA from 1 species
AUUAAUAAGUCCUUUUAUAUCAUUUUUAUUAGAUUUCACAUAUAAGUGAUAUAUUUGUCUUUCUCUGGCUUACUUAGAGUGUGAUUACUGGAUCAUAUUUAGUUUGUUUUUUCCCCCGGUGGUGUUUUUUAUUAAAAUAUAGUUGAUUUAUAGUGUUGUAUCAAUUUCUGCUGUACAGCAUAGUGACCCAGUUAUACACACACACACACAUACACACGCACACACACACACACAUUCUUUUUCUCAUACCAUCCUCUAUCAUGUUCUUUCCCAAGGGACUGGAUAUAGUUCCCUGUGCUGUGCAGUAGGACCUCAUUGCUUAUUCAUUCUAAAUGUAGUAGUUUGCAUCUACCAACCCAAAACUCCCAGUCCAUCCCACUUGCUUCCCCCUCUCCCUGGCAACCACAAGUCUGCUCUCUCUGUCCGUGAUCUGUUUCUGUUUUGUAGAUAGGAUCAUUUGUGCUAUAUUUUAGAUUCCAUGUGUAAGUGAUACAAUAUGGUGUUUGUCUUUCUUUUUCUGUAUGAGAAUCUCUGGUUGCAUUCAUAUUGCUGCAAAUGGCAUUACUUUGUUAGUUUUAUGGCUGAGUAGUACUCCAUUGUAUGUAUGUGCCACAUCUUAAUCCAUUCAUUUGUUGGUUUCCAUGUCUUGGCUCUUGUGAAUAGUGCUGCAAUGAACAUAGAGGUGUGUGUAUCUUUUUAAAUGAAAAUUUUGUCUGGACAUAUGCCCAGGAGUGAGAUUGCUGGAUCCAUGGCAGUUCUAUAUUUAGUUUUCUGAGGAACUUCCAUACUGUCCUCCAUAGUGGUUGUACCAAUUUACAUUCCUACCAGUGAAAGAGGGUUCCCUUGCCUCCACACCCUCUUCAGCCUUUGUUUUUUGUUGACUUGUUAAUGAUGGUCAUUCUUACCAGUGUGAGGUAUGCCGCAUUGUAUGUUUGACUUGCAUGUCUCUAAUAACUAGUGAUGUUGAGCAUUUUUUCAUGUGCUUGUUGGUCAUCUGUAUGUCUUCUUUGGAGAAACGUCUGUAUAGGUCUUCUGCCCAUUCCCAGGCUUAUUCUGUAAGGCCACCAUCACCCUGGUACCAAAACCAGACAAGGAUACCACAAAAAGAGAAAAUUACAGGCCAAUAUCAUUGAUGAACGUAGAUAUAAAAAUCCCAUAUUUAGUUUUUUAAGGAACCCCCAUAUUGUUCUCUCUGGUAGUUGUACCAGUUUGAAAAUUUGACCAACAGUGUACAAGAGUUCCUUCUUCUCUGUAUCCUCUCCAGCACUUAUUGUUUGUAGACUUAUUGAUGAUGGUCAUUCUGACCAGCGUGAGGCGAAAUCUCAUUGUAGUUUUGAUUGUAUUUCUGUAAUAAUUAGUGAUGUCAAGCAUCUUUUCAUGUGCUUCUUGGCCAUCUGUCUGUUGUCUUUGGAGAAAUGUCUAUUGGAUUUUCUGCCCAUUUUUUGAUUGGGUUGCUGUUUUUUUAAUUUUUUUUUUUUUUUGUAUAUAGAGCUGCUUAAGAGGUUUAUAUAUUUUUGGAGUUUAAUUCCAUGUUGGUUGCUUCGUUUGCAAAUAUUUUCUCACAUUCUGUGGGUUGUCUUUUUUUAUGGUUUCUCUUAAUUUAUAAUCCUUCUCUUGGCCAUGGAGCCCUUCCUUUUAGUGACCACAGAUUUGACCUUGCUAAAGGCUUGCCCUCUUCCUGGCCAAGGUCCUGCCAUAGCCUACUUCCCCUGGUUUUGUGUGAUCCCAAAAAGCCUUGCAUGAUCACUGUCAUUCUUUUUCCCAUUCAUCAGUCCAGGAAGCAUGUGUUUUAUAUACUGUGUGAGGCACACGCAUUUCAAUCCCAGCGUAUCAAACCUGAGUAGAAGAUAGCUCACUGACUUAGUCCACUGCGUAGGUGAAAACUCUGGUCUCUGUUCCAUUACUUCUCUUUGUACCCCUCCCUUCACAUUUCUCUGCUUCUUCAUCUUCCAAGUCCACUACUUUGUGUAUUUUGCUCCAGAGUUGAGCAAAGUUCAGUGCUUCCCCAGCGAUCAUAGGAUGACUUUGAUCUUCUUAGACCGACGUUCCAGGCUUGCCCAAACUGGACUGCAUUUCGUUUCCACUCACAAUAUCUAAGUGUGAAUGCUUUGCCCUGGCCCACACAGAUACAUCUGCCCUGCAGUAUUUUAGUUUGGCCACAACUGCAUCUCUGCCAGCCGUUGACCCUGAUGCUCCUUUGUGCAUUUUCAGGUUUGAGCUGGGCUUGUGUUGACAAUUCAAAUCUUGGAUGUUGGCAGGAAGCAUCUCAACAGAUUCCAGCUAAAACUUACCCCUUCCUUCCUUUGAACUUCUCUUUGCUCUCUACCUUCAGCUGGUGGGUAGCAUUUGCUUCUUACCUUGCUACUUAUUUUGCCAUGAGUAUACUGGGUCCCCAACUUGGUUUGAACGAUCCGUAAGGGAAGGGAUUUGUUUUUCUUCCUUUUAAAAAAUAUUUUAGGAGUUCCCAUUGUGGCGCAGUGGUUAACAAAUCCGAAUAGGAACCAUGAGGUUUUGGGUUCGAUCCCUGCCCUUGCUCAGUGGGUUAACGAUCCAGCGUUGCUGUGAGCUGUGGUGUAGGUUGCAGACACGGCUCGGAUCCUGUGUUGCUGUGGCUUUGGCAUAGGCCAGUGGCUACAGCUUCAAUUUGACCCCUAGCCUGGGAACCUCCAUAUGCCAUGGGAGCGGCCCAAGAAAUAGCAAAAAGACAAAAAAAAAAAAAAAAAAAAAA